rnacentral:rRNA from 1 species
UACGGAGGGUGCAAGCGUUAUCCGGAUUCACUGGGUUUAAAGGGUGCGUAGGCGGGCAGGUAAGUCCGUGGUGAAAUCUCCGAGCUUAACUCGGAAACUGCCAUGGAUACUAUUUGUCUUGAAUGUUGUGGAGGUGAGCGGAAUAUGUCAUGUAGCGGUGAAAUGCUUAGAUAUGACAUAGAACACCAAUUGCGAAGGCAGCUCACUACACAAAUAUUGACGCUGAGGCACGAAAAGCGUGGGGAUCAAACAGG